rnacentral:rRNA from 1 species
UACGUAGGUGACCAGCGUUGUCCGGAUUUACUGGGCGUAAAGAGCGCGCAGGCGGUCGUUCAAGUCGAGUGUGAAAGCCCCCGGCUCAACUGGGGAGGGUCACUUGAUACUGAUCGACUCGAAGGCAGGAGAGGGAAGCGGAAUUCCACGUGUAGCGGUGAAAUGCGUAGAGAUGUGGAGGAACACCAGUGGCGAAGGCGACUCUUUGGCCUGUAACUGACACUGAGGCGCGAAAGCGUGGGGAGCAAACAGG